GUGAAGCUGGAUUCGCUAGUAAUCGCGCAUCAGCCAUGGCGCGGUGAAUACGUUCCCGGGCCUUGUACACACCGCCCGUCACACCAUGGGAGUUGGGAAUGCCCGAAGCCGGUGACCUAACCGAAAGGGAGGAGCCGUCGAAGGCAGGCUUGAUAACUGGGGUGAAGUCGUAACAAGGUACC
rnacentral:rRNA from 1 species